GGCGAAAUAGCUCAGUUGGUAGAGCAGAGGAUUGAAAAUCCUCGUGUCCCCGGUUCAAGUCCGGGUUUUGCCACCA
rnacentral:tRNA from 1 species